GUUUCAGAGAGAAUGGUCGGAAAUUUAAAGGACGAAGUGAAAAAGGAAAAUACUGAGAUAAAAGAAAAGAUUCUUCCACCCUCUACUGUAGAGGAUACAUGUACAGGAAAGGAUACAUGUACUGUAAAGGAUACAUGUACCGUAGAGGAGACAUGUACUGUUUAUAUAAAAGAAGAAGAUGUUAAGAUGGAAAUAAGUGAUACCAAAGAGGAUGUAAGUUCUGUUUAUAUAAAGGAAGAAGAUGUAUCGGUGGAAAUUACUGAAACACAAGGAUCAACUGUAAACCCAGAAGAGGAUUUUCUGCAGUUUGGGUUUCACAGAACUAAGAAGAGGAAACUAGAAGGAAGAAGAUAUCCCUGUGAAGAAUGUGGGUGUGGUUACACCAGAUUAAGUGAUCUGAAAAGACAUGUGAAUGGUGUACACAAUGGAGUUAGAUAUCCAUGUGAUAAAUGUGAAUACGUUGCAACUGUGGCAAGUCAACUUAGAAUACAUGUUAAAUGUAAACAUGAAGGAGUGAGAUAUCCGUGUGAUAAAUGUGAACACGUUUCAUCUACAGCAGGCAAUCUUCGAUUGCACAUUGAGAAAAAACAUGAAGGAGUCAGAUAUCCCUGCGAAAAAUGUGACUACACUGCAAUGGACACAACUACUCUUAAAAGACAUGUUGAGAGUAAACAUGAAGGAGUGAGAUAUUCAUGCGAUAGAUGUAACUACUCUGUAACUACAGAAACUUCUCUUAAGAGACACAUUGAUAGUAAGCAUGAAGGAGUGAGAUAUCCUUGUGAUAAAUGUGAGUAUAUAGGAACUUUCGCAAGUGAUCUUAAAAGACAUAUUCAGAUUAAACAUGAAGGAGUGCAGUUUCCAUGUGACAAAUGUGAGUACACUACCACCUCAUCAUAUGCUUUAGGAUCGCAUAUGAAGAUUAAGCAUGAAGGAGUGAGAUAUCCAUGUCAUGAAUGUGAGUAUGAGUCAACUAGAUUAAAUGAUCUAAAAAUACAUGUUGAUUUUAAGCAUAAGGGAAUAAGAUAUCCUUGUGAUAAAUGUGAAUACGUUGCAACUAGAGCAAGUCAUCUUAAUAGUCAUAUCAAGACCAAACAUGAAGGAGUGAGGUAUCCCUGUGAUAAAUGUGACUUUACUGCAACUACCACAAGUGAUCUCAAAAGGCACAAAAGGACUGUACAUGAAGGAGUGAGAUAUCCGUGCGACACAUGUAAUUACACUGCAACAACUAAAGGAGUUCUAAAACUACAUAUCAAGAGUAAACAUGAAGGAGUUAGAUAUCCCUGUGAUAAAUGUGAACACACCGGAAUUACAUUAAGUGCUCUGAGAAAACAUAUCAAAAGUAAACACGAAGGACUGAGAUUUCCAUGUGAUAAAUGUGAAUUUGCUGGAACUACAUCUAGUCAUCUUAAAGUUCAUAUUGAGACUAAACAUGAUAAAGUGAAAUACCCUUGUGUUUUAUGUGAUUACGAGUCAUUAAGAUUGACUGAUCUGAAGAUACAUAUUCGAAGUAUACAUGAGGGAGUUAGGUAUCCAUGUAAUCAAUGUGAUUACACUGCAACAAGGGAGAGUCAUCUAAAACUACAUAUUAAAAGCCAACACGAUGGAGUCAAAUAUCCAUGUGGUCAAUGUGAACACACUGCAAACACAGUUGAUUCUCUUAGAAAGCAUAUUCAAAGUAAACAUGAGGGAGUGACUUAUGCCUGUGAUUUAUGUGAGCAUUCUGCAACUACAGCUAGUAAUCUUAGAGUACAUAUUCAAAGUAAACAUGAAGGAGUGAGAUAUCCAUGUGAUAAAUGCGAGUAUUCAGCAUCUACAGCAAUUGUUCUUAGAACACACAUUGAGAGUAAACAUGAAGAAGUUAGAUUUCCUUGUAAUAUCUGUGGAUAUGCUGCAAAAUCACAAGUUGCACUCAAAAGGCACAGAAGAAGAAAUCAUACGAAGAAUAUUGAUUAGAAACGAAUAUUUUGUGACAGGUGAUCAACUCACAACGUAUGUAUCGUAUGAGAUCAUUAUACAAUCACAAAUGAACUCUAUACGUACAGAUACUUCAAACUAAACAUGUAAAUUUUUUAAGUGUUCAAGAGAGACUUAGAAAUUUGUAAGUUCCAAUGUGAACCAAAUUUGUUAAUGUAAAUUUAAUUGUAAAUCUAGCUUUUUUAUUUAAGUUUUCAAUACAAACAUUUCAUGUGUCUUUGAAGAAAAAUCUUAAAAUUUAAAUAAUGCAUUCCUUUUCACGUUGAAUUUAUCAAUAUAGUUAAUAUGAACAAUACUUUUACCAAUUCUACUUCACUUGAAGGAGGAAAUACAGAGGAAGAAGAUGUUAAGUUUGAACUUACAGACCCUCAAGGUAAAAUUAAAUUUUUCUAGAAAAUAUUGCCUCAGAAAAUCCGCAAAGUUGGUUUUAAUAAUAAUCUUAAAAUGAAGUUCUAGUUUUCAUCACAAAACAUGACUUUUGAGAUAAAACUUGAAGGUCGUCUUCGAUCUUUGAGAUAAUUUGCUGUAUUAAUUUUUACAUGUUAUGUAUGGUUCUUGAAUCAGUAAUUACAAAAUUACCCUCGUUAUGGAAUUUCCAAAAUUAUCGAAAUCUGAACGAAAUUUUUAAUAUUUCCAGUAAUUUUGUUUUCAUUUGUAAACACCAAGACUAGGGUUUUUUUGAUCAUUCAAAAAUGUUACUUCUUAAAUUAGGUUGACAAGUGAAUGCCAUGUCAUUUUCUCCAAGACAUCAAAAAUGGUGUUGAAAAUAUAUGUAUACCCCUGUG